UGCCUGAUAUUGCCUGAAAAUCAGGACUCUGUAAAAGCUGAGUCAUCCUAGGUCCGAGCACGGAGUGCUUGGAGGCUAGGAUCCUGGCAACUGUGCGCAAGCUCGGGGUGGACCUUAUUUUAACUAAAGCUUACCCUGCUGGACGGUUGAGGACUUCAGGGAUUCCCGUCUUGCUGUAGGUGGGCUGAGAUUACAGCCCACGCUUUUGGAUGGAGGAGAGGCACACAAGCUCCCACCCCUCGAAGAGGAACUUUUGGCAACUGAUGGCUGCUAGGUAUCCUGGGACGUAAACACCCGCCAGAAGCCUGACUGGAGAUUCAAUGCAAUCAGUUCUUACUACUCAGGGAAGUUACAAAAGUCAUUGUGAGCACUGAAUUACCCAAUCCUGGGCCACAGCAUGAAGACUGAGCAAGCUAAUGUCGGUAAGAAUGUCCUGGAGGCAGAAGACGGCGGAGUGAAGGGCUCUGAGUCUCGCUGUGUGGGAAGUCUCACCAAGAGAAUAGAUCACAGGGAAGAUAAAUCAUCUGAACUCAAAAGACAAAGAACAACGAGUCAAUACAGACAACAAUAAAAUAUUUUUUAAAACAUCUGUAAGAAUUUCAAG